UAGUCAUAUGCUUGUCUCAAAGAUUAAGCCAUGCAUGUCUAAGUACAAGCCUCACUAAGGUGAAACCGCGAAUGGCUCAUUAAAUCACACCUAAUCUACUGGAUAGUUAACAGUUACUUGGAUAACUGCGGUAAUUCUGGAGCUAAUACAUGCACAAAGCCCCGAACUUACGUGAGGGGCGCUUUUAUUAGAUCAAAACCAAACGGCUUCGGCUGUAUCCUUGGUGACUCUGAAUAACUUUGGGCUGAUCGCAUGGCCUAGCGCCGGCGACAUAUCCUUCGAAGGUGUGCCCUAUCAACUGUCGACUGUGGCAUAGACGCCCACAGUGGUUUUGACGGGUAACGGGGAAUCAGGGUUCGAUUCCGGAGGGGGAGCCUUAAAAACGGCUACCACAUCUAAGGAAGGCAGCAGGCACGCAAAUUACCCAAUGACCGAAGGUCGAGGUAGUGACAAAAAAUAACGAUACGGGACUCAUCUGAGGCCCCGUAAUCGGAAUGAGUACACUUUAAAACCGUCCCCGAGGAUCUAUU
rnacentral:rRNA from 1 species